rnacentral:rRNA from 1 species
UGGGGAAUUUUGGACAAUGGGCGAAAGCCUGAUCCAGCAAUGCCGCGUGCGUGAAGAAGGCCUUCGGGUUGUAAAGCACUUUUGUCCGGAAAGAAAUGGCUCUGGUUAAUACCUGGGGUCGAUGACGGUACCGGAAGAAUAAGGACCGGCUAACUACGUGCCAGCAGCCGCGGUAAUACGUAGGGUCCAAGCGUUAAUCGGAAUUACUGGGCGUAAAGCGUGCGCAGGCGGUUGUGCAAGACCGAUGUGAAAUCCCCGAGCUUAACUUGGGAAUUGCAUUGGUGACUGCACGGCUAGAGUGUGUCAGAGGGGGGUAGAAUUCCACGUGUAGCAGUGAAAUGCGUAGAGAUGUGGAGGAAUACCGAUGGCGAAGGCAGCCCCCUGGGAUAACACUGACGCUCAUGCACGAAAGCGUGGGGAGCAAACAGGAUUAGAUACCCUGGUAGUCCACGCCCUAAACGAUGUCAACUAGUUGUUGGGGAUUCAUUUCCUUAGUAACGUAGCUAACGCGUGAAGUUGACCGCCUGGGGAGUACGGUCGC